rnacentral:tRNA from 1 species
GCCGAAAUAGCUCAGAAGGGAAAGCGUCAGACUGAAGAUCUGAAGGUCACUGGUUUAAUCCCGGGUUUCGGCA